AUUGAACGCUGGCGGCAGGCCUAACACAUGCAGGUCGAGCGGAUGAAGGGAGCUUGCUCCUGGAUUCAGCGGCGGACGGGUGAGUAAUGCCUAGGAAUCUGCCUGGUAGUGGGGGAUAACGUCCGGAAACGGGCGCUAAUACCGCAUACGUCCUGAGGGAGAAAGUGGGUGAUCUUCGGACCUCACGCUAUCAGAUGAGCCUAGGUCGGAUUAGCUAGUUGGUGGGGUAAAGGCCUACCAAGGCGACGAUCCGUAACUGGUCUGAGAGGAUGAUCUGUCACACUGGAACUGAGACACGGUCCAGACUCCUACGGGAGGCAGCAGUGGGGAAUAUUGGACAAUGGGCGAAAGCCUGAUCCAGCCAUGCCGCGUGUGUGAAGAAGGUCUUCGGAUUGUAAAGCACUUUAAGUUGGGAGGAAGGGCAGUAAGUUAAUACCUUGCUGUUUUGACGUUACCAACAGAAUAAGCACCGGCUAACUUCGUG
rnacentral:rRNA from 1 species